rnacentral:lncRNA from 1 species
AGGGUUAAGGAUCUCAAGGGCUUGGACUUCUCAGAGAUGAAGAUCUGGAUCACUCCAUCAGGCAAGCAACGAAGACCAGAUGAAAUGCUGCUUGAAGGGCUGGCAUAUCUAGAAUUGGUGGUAGAAAUAACAAAUAAAGAAACUGGAGCAGAAAAUCAGUCACAUUAAAUUUACCACCAUUCAAAAAGCCAAGACAUCAACCAUAGUCUUGGAUUCAUCUUUAACUGUUGGGUAAUACGGCACUGUCUGAACAUACUGUUACAAUAUAUUCCAUGGAUGUUGGAUCCACUGAUGAACAUUUGAGUUGUUUCCAAGCUUUUGUUAAGUGAAAAUUAGUGAUACAACAUUUCCGAACCUGUGUUUGAUUGUAUAAGUGCAAGAGACUCUCCUAGACAUUCCUAGAAAUAAAUUUUCUGUGUCAUAAAACAUGAGAAUAAUCAACUUAAAAAAUAAUGCCAAACUGUUUCAGUGAUAGAUAACUAACUCUCCAAUUGGUAAUAUAUAAGAGAUUCUACAGAUUUCCACUACGUCUAACACUUGGUAUUGUAAAAUCUUAAUGUUGCCAAUGUAACAAGAAUUAGACAGAAAAUUACAGUGGUUUUGAUGUUGAUGUCACUGAUUACAAUGAAGUUAUUAAUAAAUAUCUUUUUUUGUGUGGUGACCUAUGUAAAA